AGGACGAACGCUGGCGGCGUGCUUAACACAUGCAAGUCGAGCGGAAAGGCCCUUCGGGGUACUCGAGCGGCGAACGGGUGAGUAACACGUGAGUAAUCUGCCCCUAGCUCUGGGAUAGCCCCGGGAAACCGGGAUUAAUACUGGAUACGACCACCUUAGACAUCUUUUGUGGUGGAAAGAAUUUCGGCUAGGGAUGAGCUCGCGGCCUAUCAGCUUGUUGGUGGGGUAACGGCCUACCAAGGCGACGACGGGUAGCCGGCCGUGAGAGGGCGACCGGCCGACACUGGGACUGAGACACGGCCCACGACUCCUACGGGAGGGCAGCAGUGGGGAAGUAUUGCGCAAUGGGCGAAAGCCUGACGCAGCGACGCCGCGUGGGGGAUGAAGGCCUUCGGGUUGUAAACCCCUUUCAGCAGGGACGAAGCGAAAGUGACGGUACCUGCAGAAGAAGCGCCGGCUAACUACGUGCCAGCAGCCGC
rnacentral:rRNA from 1 species